rnacentral:rRNA from 1 species
UAAUAGUGUAUAUUAAAGUUGUUGCAGUUAAAAAGCUCGUAGUUGAAUGUUGGUGUCGAACGAGCGGUCAGCUUCGGCUGUACUGCUCUCUCGACUCCUUCCUUCUGUGGACUACGUCGCACUUUACUGUGUGGCGCUAGGACGCAGAUCGUUUACUGUGAAAAAAUUAGAGUGUUCAAAGCAGGCCGUACGCUUGAAUACAUUAGCAUGGAAUAAUGGAAUAGGACGUCGGGCCUAUUUUGUUGGUUCUAGGACCGUCGUAAUGAUUAAUAGGGACAGUUGGGGCCGUUUAUAUUCCGUAGUCAGGGGUGAAAUUCUUGGAUUUACGGAAGAUAAACUACUGCGAAAGCAUUCGGCAAGGAUGUUUNCGUUAA